CUUUAAUGAGAGUUUGAUCUUGGCUCAGGACGAACGCUGGCGGCGUGCCUAAUACAUGCAAGUCGAGCGCAGGAAGCAGUUUAGAUCCCUUCGGGGUGACGAGCUGUGGAAUGAGCGGCGGACGGGUGAGUAACACGUGGGCAACCUACCUGUAAGACU
rnacentral:rRNA from 1 species